rnacentral:miRNA from 1 species
AAAAAAGAAAUCUAAAUUUUUAUUCAGAGGCUGGAAUGUAACUCAGUGGUAGAGCCUUUGUCUAGUGUGUACAAGACCUGGGGUUCAAUCCCUGCACUAUAAGAAAUAAAAAAGUAUAUUUUU